GGCAUUUGGAAUAUUUCACUAUUCAAAUAUGGAUAUCCGGAUGGUCCAAAUACAUUUCUUUAUUUUGUGAAAAUAUGUUUUGUUUGCCGCAGGACUGGCAGAGACAGUGCGGUGCUAGAAGGGAAGGUUUGAUUGGGAGAGACAGUUGUUGCUGCCAUAGGUAAUCUGUCAUACUAUACAUUUAUUAAAGACAUGUCUAUUUUAAAAUUGUUCUCGUCAGAAUGUAGUAGAGUUAAAAUGGUUAUUCCAUCAAACUUCCAAUUAUUAGAAUAGUACACAACGCAGAACAGAACAACCAGGUUGAGGGUCAGUGGCCAAAGCCCGCGAACAGGAAUAUUCCAAGUUCAGACAGAGGGGGGGAGUCAGAUCGCUAUGAUCGCCAGGAACUUUACUUUUGGUGUCUAUUUUUAAUUGUUGCGCUACUGGUGCUGCCUGUUGAUGUUAGGUAGGCAGCUACAGUAGCUGAAUGAUGUUAACAUCUUCGGGUUUUAUUUCAUUAAAUGUAUUUUAUUUCAUCCGUGUGCUUGUCACCUACUAACACCCUGGUACUACCCGUAGCUCCCGCUCUCCUCAGUCCGAGAAAACACUGAGAGAGAAAGAUCAACAUAAAAGCCAGCCGUGGUGUCGCUCUUCAUUUCUUGGUUCUCCUGUGGUACAUAAGAAACCCGCUACAAGAACAUGGAUAAAAGCAGGAAUCUCUCGUGCCAAGAUUCAUCAGCUGUUAUACAAAUAUGUUACAAAACACCAGCUGAGUGGCACCGGCUGCAUCAGCAAGCCUGGGAAAGAACUGAAAAAACGCACUAAAGAGUCAAGACAGACACCAGAAAGAGACCCAAGAAGACUUGGACGCAGGAUCAGAGGACAGCGAGGGAUGUUCAGAAAUCACUCAGUCCGGUUUGGAGAAUGACUUCUCAACCCAAGAGGCCUAAGAGCAGCUGUGAGAGAGCAUCAGUUUGGAAGCAUUUGGGAAAAUGUAAAGUGCUAAAGAAGGUUCCCGGCAAAGAGGAUUGCCUGUUAUGGGUCAGAGCCAGCUCUCAAAAAAGAACAUGUAAAGACAUAAAAACCUGGUGCACAACAAAAUGCAAACAUACAAGGCUCUCCGCAGCCAGUAAAAGGCUAGCAUGCCACGAAGCUGAAGUUCACACAGGUGAAUGGGAGUGUUGUAAAAGACAAAAAGCUUUUUAGACAUAGCUCUAAAAUGCAGGUCCUAGUUGAGCUCGUGGGCUUGUUCUGCUCUUUUUUGUGUUUUUUUGUUUUGUGGUGGAAAACUUAGUGUAUCGAGCAUAACACGUCAACCCUGUUACCAAUAGAUAAAAAGGCUAGACAAUUCUUAGCAAUUUUAUUUUUGUCUGAAACUUCCAAUUCAAUGCUAGCUGUGGGAUGGAUCCUGGUUCAAGUCCAGGCUCUGUCGCAGCCGGCUGCGACCUGGAGACCCAUGGAUUGGUGCACAAUUGUCCCAGCGUCAUCCUGGUUAGGGGAGGGUUUUUAUUUAUUUUUGUUUUUAUUCAUUUGAAUAUGGUCUUUAUAACAGAAGGUAAAAUUAGGUGAACUUUUAGUUAUGAAUAUGAACUGGCAAUAUUCUAGUGGCCAUUCUUCGUUGCAAUAGGCCCAUGAAAUAAUAUCAGCUUUUAUGAUGCUGUUAAAGAUAGUACCUUUACCUAACUGCGCAGUGUAGCCUAUAGGUUAUACACUGAGUGUACAAAACAAUAAGGACACCUUCCUAAUAUUUAGUUAGCCCAUCCACCCCCUUUUGUCCUCAGAACAGCCUCAAUUUAUCAGGGCAUGGAUUCUACAAGGUGUUGAAAGUGUUCCACAGGGAUGCAGGCCCAUGUUGAUGCCAAUGCUUCCCACAGUUGUCAAGUUGGCUGGAUGUCCUUUGGUUGGUGGAACAUGAGCGUGAAAAACCCAUCAGUGUUGCAGUUCUUGACACAAACCGGUGUGCCUGGCACCUACUACCAUACUCCGUUCAAAGGCACUUGAAUCUUUUGUUUUGCCCGUUCACCCUCUGAAUGGCACACAUACACUAUCCAUGUCUCCAGGCUUAAAAAUCAUUCUUUAACCUGUCCUGUCCCCUUCAUCUACAAGUGACAUCAAUAAGGGAUCAUAGCUUUCACUUGGAUUCACCUGGUCAGUCUGUCAUGGAAAUAGCAGGUGUCCUUUAAUGUUUUGUACACUUAGUGUAAAUUUCACAAUAAUUAUACAUUUAUGGAUUUUGUUAUGUAGCCUAUUGUUGUCACUUUAUUGAACCUGUCUGCAACCCACCUGCCUGGGGACUGCGGGUUAUGAGACAAUCCUUGCAUGUUCUGCAGCCUUGUAAAGAUAGGGAGAGGAUGACUGGGAUGCAGUUUGGCAUUUAUUGUCAUGAAUCUUGCCCUGGCGGCAGUUCUGCAAAGUGGUCACAAGCUGGCACAGGCAUAAAGUAAUAAUAUCUGAUUUGAAACCUAACCUUAACCCUAACCACACUGCUAAUCCUUACCUUAAAUUAAGACCAUAAAACACAAUUAUUUUCCACAAAUAUUUACAAUAUAGACAGUUUUGACUUAGCAGCUGCCAUAUCUUGAGGAAAUUGCGCAGUUCUGCCUCCAGGGCAAUAUUCAUGACAAACUUCAAGCUGCGACUGGGAGAGGGAAUGUAAAACCGAUAACGAAAUUGUUUUGACAAUUAACAUACAUUUUAUUAUGAAAAGUACAAUAUAUCCAUGUACACAUCAGAUAGCUGCUCUUUCUCUGCUACUUCAUUCAAUUUCUCUAAUUCUCUAGUUUAGUAUUCCCUGGUUAUGUUCCAAUACUCCCUCUAUUUCCUCACCUCUUCCUCAGACUCUUCUUUUCCUCUCCUUACUUUCUCCAUCAUUUUCCAUCUGUUGCAUCUUACUGGCCUUCUCUUGCUUCACAAGUUUUUUGGCUUUGCCCUUUUUCUUAUUGACCUUCCCUUCCUGAAUAUUUUGGACAAGGAGAUAAAGUUUGUAAGCUUAUGGGUUUUCUCUUGAGCUACUAUAUCUAGAGCUAUACUAUACCGUAGAAGGACAUAUGGCCAAUAUUCCCUUCUUGUAUUUCCUCUCACCUGUGUAGGCCACUCCUGCCAUUUCCUGGAGCUGCUUCCUGUCGGUCUUGCUCAGGUUGGUGAUAGGGGCCAAGCGAGGCAUGUGGCGGUAUGGGAAGUUCUCUGUAGUGCUGAGGUCACAAGAGGAGAGAGGCCAGUGUGGCCAGACACAGGACCAGAGACCUUCCCUGGGCUUUGUAGGACCAGAAAGUAAAGUCAAAUAUCAGGAAAAUGCUAUGUUAAAAACAAUCUGUAGAUAUACUUUAUAACUGAACUAUACACAUUGCAGAUACCUGACUACACUCAAUAAGUAGGAGUAACUUACAAAGCUCUGGACUUUGUUAUUUUUUUUAGACUAGGCUAUACUGGUCUGCAUUUCUUCCAUGCUGUCUAUAAUUUCAGCCAUCUCCAGUGCAUUUCUUGAAUGCCACUUUCAACCUCCCAAGUCAAUUAGCCAACUGUCCAGGUCUACUGCCUUAAGAUCACCUUCGCUGCAGUUUCUCUUCAUGACUUGGAUCAGUGCCCUCACCUCCUUGCCCAUCCUCUUGACCUCCCUAGCCACGUCUUCAUCCGUCAGUCUCUCCUUCCUCCUCCCUAUCCACUUCACAAUCCAUCCUCUACAGCAGGGGUGUCAAACUCAAAUACCCAGUGGGCCAAAAUGUAAAACCUGAACAAAGUCGCGGGCCAACAUUGAACAAAUGAACCUUUUAAUAUGGACCCAAACAAGUUUUGCUUUAACAUUGAAUAUGGAACAAGCAUCGCUUAUUACCAUACAAUAUAUAAUUUAAUAGUGGAGACAUGCAAAAUCGAAUUUCAAAUGAAAAAACACAUUUAUGGCAUUCAUUUAUUAAAUAAAUAAAAUUUAAAUAAAUCGUAUGCCUCUUUUCUAUUUGCAGCCUUCUGAUUUAAAUCCCAAAAUAAACUUUUUCCACUGGCUAAUAAUUUUACAAAUAAAAUGAUAAUAAAUCAGUCAACCAUUCAAGCCCAUGCCUUGUAGCAAGAAAAAGUGCACAAAGAAAACGUUAAUUAUUGCACACUGAUCUAAUCUGAUGUGCCCAAGCCAGAUACCUGGCAUCUCUUCUUGGAUGCUAGUUCAUCAAUGUCUGGGCUGAAGAAAUUCUCAGUAUCGAGCGAAGGUGUUCAUCAGUCAGACGUCUCCUGUGAGUUGUUUUGGUCAUCUUCAUCGAGGAGAAAAGUUGCUCGCAUAGAUAAGUGCUGCCGAACAUGGAGAGCAUCUGAGCAGCUUGGGUGCGGAGCUGAGGCAUUGUCAGGGAUGAACCGUGGAAACUGCGGCGCCCACAGCAUCAUACUUUGACUUCAGCGUGUCGUUGCACUGGAGUUCAAUCAGCUCCAUUUGGAUGUUGGUUGGUGCAUUUUCCACAUCAACUGCGAAGGGAUUACUAAGCAGUUCAAACCUACAUUUCUGAACAUCGAAGUCGGCGAUUGGCUAAACUCAGCGGCGAGAACACUGAGUUUUUCAGCAAACUGCGCAUGGGAACACGGCGGUAGAGAUCUGCGCUUUUAUGGUUUGGCAGCAGGGAAAAUGGCAGAUCCUUGUAUUUGUCAUGGUGUUUCGUUUCAUAGUGUCGUCUAAUGUUGUACUCCUUACUUACAGCCACGUUGACUCCACAAACAAGACAAACAGGUUUGUCUUUUACAUAUGUAAACAGAUAUUCUGCCUCCCACUUGUCCAGAAAGCUCCUGUUUUCUGCCUUUCUUUUCGCCAUUUUUGGGAAGGGAUAGCGCGCUGACAGUUGUAGCGUCUAUGUUGCUAUGACUACUGUCACAGAGGAGAGGGCGUUUCUGGGCCCUGUCCUGAUUGGCGCGCGAAAACAACAGCAGAGCAUUAUGGAAUUCGUAGUAUUAGCGGUGAAUGCGCUGCAUAAUACCGGUGGGCCAGCUCUAGUAGUAAUUUGGUAUUGUCUCGCGGGCCAAAUACCGCGAGCCAGAGUUUGACACCCAUGCUCUACAGCAUCCCUCAUUCUUCUUCUGCCUCUCUUGGUUGAUGUCCUGACCGUCAUUGUGCGUCUCCAGGCCUUCCUCCAGGUUGAGUUCUAUUGAGGUCAGGUUCUAUUUGAUCCUCCACAGGCUCUCCUCGUUGGUGUUGGUCCACUGUGUCUUCUUGUCCAGCUGCUGCCUGCAGGGCCGGACAGUGGGGACCACCUCCAUCUGGCGUGACACCUUCUUCAGGGCACUCACAGAGGCAGGGAGGAGGAUGUUGGGCUUGGCCACAAUAAUCUCAACAGACAUAGGGUCAAACCAUUGAGAUGUGACACACACACACAAAUUUAAAAGAUGCCUACCAAUCGAUGGUCCUUCAGUGGUCCUUGUGGUUCCUUUGGAGGCUCUGGACUGUCCUCAGUAGAGGCAUCAUUGCCACCAUCAAGAUGUGUGUCAGAGAACUAGCUGGUCAUAGUCCAUUCUCCACAUUCAGUGAAAGAGUUACUCAAAAAUGUGUGGGUGGGGGGGGGGGGAUAGACAGGUCAUCAUCCUCGUCCAUAUCCCUCACUUCAAACUUUGUCACCUUUCCAUCCUUAACUUUCAGCGGUGGUGUCCUCCUUCCAUGAUCCUGAUCAUCACACUGUGUAUCAGAGUCAACUAGUCAGAGACCAUCCUCCUCACAGUGGUCACUCAACAAAGACAUGGACGAUAGGGUACAACUCUUUUACCUCCGAUUCACAGCCAGUGAAGGUGUAGAUCGAAAAGUCAUCCGAACUGGAGGAUGAGAUCACGUCAUCAUUUUUUCUCUCUAUCAGCCUAGUCACCCUUCCAGACUGAGUAGACAGAGAAAGGCAUGUACUCAUGGCAGCCAUAGAAUACACUGGCAUUGACCCUCAAGGAAAUGUAGAAUACGUAGGCAAUCCAACAUGGUUAUACAAGUAGUGAGCAAUACAUGGGUAACUGAAAAUGCAAUAAAUGCAACUCCCAUAACAUUAGGGGAGGGGCUAAAGACCUUCCAUUGUAUAGGAUUCUUUAGCAUCUCAAAUGGAUGAUUGUCAAUUCAACCAAAAUGGCCAUAUGAAUCAACAGUUUGAUUUACAGUAUCUGUUGUGUCUCUAUGGGAACAGCAGAGAUGUCUGACCUGGCUGAGAGGCUCUGGAUUGAUGUUCCAUCUGUCCCUAGAUCUCUGGUCUUUCCCACAGCUCACGAUGAUUGGCUGUAAACCGUAAAGAAUGAAUUCAACACUGCUUUGCUCAUUACAGAAUGCAUAACUAAUGUGCAUGUGUUACUGAUUUCAGUUUGAAAUGACUUACAGGCUUUGUUCUUCUGUGCACCUUGCCGGAUGGCCACAUCACAGAAUCGGGUGUGUUAACCCUCAUUGGAUUCAUCCGUCAACACAUCACUCAAUUUAAAAGGUGAUAAUAUAACAAAAACAGGAUAAAACAAAUGUGCAUUUUAUAUUUACCAAAUAAGGGUGGCAUCUUAACGCUCUUUUGAUUCUCUCAUUAUUACGAUCCAUAGCUUUCUGAGGGAAAUAUUUCCAUCUAUUUGGAUAUGUAUAUAUACACAGCUCUGGAAAAAAUUAAGAGACCACUGCAAAAUGAUCAGUUUCUCUGGUUUUACUAUUUAUAUGUAUGUGUUUGGGUAAACUGAACAUUUUUGUUUUAUUCUAUAAACUGCUGACAACAUUUCUCCCAAAUUCCAAAUAAAAAAUAUUGUCAUUUAGAGCAUUUAUUUGCAGAAAAUGACGACAGGUCAAAAUAACAAAAAAGAUGCAGUGUUGUCAGACCUCGAAUAAUACUAAUACUUUAAUGGUGUUCAUGUGAUUUUGGUAACAACUUAUCCUCUAGUCGUGUCUGGCGUGGUGUACCUCCUCUGGUGGUUUCUCAUACCCCAUCCCAUACCCCAUGGGCUGUUGAGACUUCUGAUCAUCACAUUUCAGGCACAAGCCAGCAUGUGGCAGUUUCUUUAAAUGCAGCACUGCCUUAGUGCACUUCAUGAUCUGCGCAACAGUAACUUUGUGGUUGUGAAUGUGAUUAAUAAAAAGAACGUGAUUAAUCCAAAUGCGGAAGUCCAUUACAUUUGCUUUGGUUUAGCAAUCUAUCUACCUCCUCCCUGUCUUAGCUAAAGUGUUGUGCAAUAUUGGAGGACAGGUGUCGUAACUGACAUUUUUGUAUUGUGCUUGAUUAUCCACUGGUAUUAGUUUGACAUAUGUACUGAGCAUCAAAAAUCCGUUUUGAAAGAUGUGGUGGAAGAAUUUGGGGUGAGCUGUUGUAACUUCUCAAGGGAUAUGUUCUAUGUUGGACUGUGAUGUUAGGCGUUUCAUAGGCUACUGGUAUGUCUGCAUCCUAACACAAGGCCGGAACUAUUGAUUUAUAGAAAUAACUGUUGUGUAAACAAUAUGAUUGUAUUAUCACCUCCAACUAUAUAAGGGACAUGUAACCAUUUCUUCCUUGCUGUGAAAUUAUUGGUGGCUGCUUGUAUUAAAUAUGUUAUUUUAUAUUGUAAAAUAUAGGAUUAUCACCACAGCAAGCAAGGUAUUUGGAGUCAAACAGACCGGCCUGGAUGAGAUCUUUAAGGUCAGGGCCCUCCGCAAGUCUCACAAAAUCAUUUUAGACCCAAGCCACCCCCUGUACCCGGACUUUGAACUACUCCCCUCUGGGCACAGGUAUAGGGCACCCCUCAGCAAGAAAAACAGAACUAGACAAUCAUUUGUGCCAGGUGUGAUAUCCCUCCUAAAUAGCUCGGGCUGAUGUUCCUAUUGAAUCGGUAAGGCCAGCAGGCUAAUCAUUUUUUUAUUAAUGUUUAAUUGGUAUGUUAACUGUUAUGAAAGUUGUAUUGUAAAACUUUUUAUUUAAACGCCACUUUAAAUGUCUACAAGACACUGCAACAACAUUUCCCCAUGGGGACAAUAAAGUCAUUAAGUAAA